rnacentral:tRNA from 1 species
UAGCCUAGUGGUUAAGGCUAUGGAUCGGUAAUCCGGAGACGGCGGGUUCGAUUCCCGU